AUGGUGAGGAAAAAAUUCAUCGUUGGUUAAAUUAGGGUUUUUUAAAAACAAAAAAAGGGAGUUAAUCUGUAGGCUCAUCUAUUCACCUCCGACAUAACCAAAUUGAAGAAGCUCAACAAGGUUGGACGAUCUGAACAAGAAUCCAGAGAUAUUGAAGAACGGGGAGCGACUUCUUGAGUCUGAUCGAAUAACUCCAUCUCCUAUGCAUAACAUGUCCAAAAGCGGUAAACAAUGGGUGAAACCAGGCGACCUCGCAAAACAAAAGCAAACUAAUUACGAGAAUAAAAGAAACAAGAAAGUCAAGGCAAAUGAAAAUAGGGUGAAAGCUUUGGGGUUAAAGCAUAUACCAGCUUCUUUAAGCGAUUUCGUUCAUUACGUACCUGUGAAUGGAAAUGGAAAAUGAAUCAGGGCUGAGCCGGAUGAUGACUAUAGUUUAUCUGGUAAUGAGGAUGAUAGUGAUUAUGACUCUGAUGACUCUUUUGAGCAAGAGGUUAUAAGGACGCAAGAGGUACCUGAAAUGCAGCAUGGAACAUCACAUCUUUAGCGAGCCCCUACCAGAAACCAACAUGACAUGAGCUGCAUCACUGAGAGGGAGACCCGGUCAACUACCCAACCCCCACAACCUCUUGAUGCUGAGCAUGAGAUUGAGGCAGUCCCCUUUUAGCACCUGUUGGCAAGCUUUAAACGUUAUUUACUUUUUUCUUUUGACAAUAUAUUUAAGCACUACUUUUGGCACUUUAUUUUUUUGCUCAAACUUGGCACUUACUAUAUUAACAUAGCUUCAUUAUAACAAUAGUUGCUGAUAGACCUAUCUGUGGCCCGGCACGAGGCUUGAUGGUUCAACAAAUAUUCGACAAAGAAGGAAAGCUUCUUGUUCCUAUCCCAUAGUGUUUUCGUGCACCUGUCAGAAAGUGUGCUUGUAAACUUGCCACAAAGAUUGGUGUAGAUGUUCG